GCAGACACACUCUGCCUCCGGCUGCCAACCUCAGCCCGGUGCUUUUUCUGUCUGCCAGAGAACCGCCCGGCUUGCUGCGAGUGUCUUGGCCUAUCUGAGGUGGCACAGCUCUCCGGGGACAUGUGU
rnacentral:snoRNA from 15 species